UCAAGUUAUUAAGGGUGCAGGGCGGAUGCCUUGGCACUAGGAGCCGAUGAAGGACGUGAUAAGCUGCGAUAAGCUUCGGGGAGUUGCACGUAAACUUUGAUCCGAAGAUUUCCGAAUGAGGAAACUCACUUAGAGUAAUGUCUAAGUAUCAUUAAGUGAAUACAUAGCUUAAUGAGGGGAACUCAGGGAACUGAAACAUCUAAGUACCUGAAGGAAGAGAAAGAAAUUCGAUUCCGUAAGUAGCGGCGAGCGAACGCGGAUUAGCCCAAACCAAUAAAGUUUUCUUUAUUGGGGUUGCGGACAUAUCAUAACGAAGAGGUAUCGUAAUUGAAGAGGUUUGGAAAGACCCACCACAGAAGGUAAUAGUCCUGUAUGUUAAACGAGAAGACUUCAGAUAUGAUCCAGAGUACCACGGGACACGUGAAACCCUGUGGGAAGCAGGAGGGACCACCCUCCAAGGCUAAAUACUACCUAGUGACCGAUAGCGUAUAGUACCGUGAGGGAAAGGUGAAAAGAACCCCGGGAGGGGAGUGAAAUAGAACCUGAAACCCUGCACUUACAAGCUGUGGAAGCACAUUUCUUGUGUGACCGCGUACUUUUUGUAGAACGGGCCAACGAGUUACGUUAAGUAGCAAGGUUAAGCACUUAAGGUGUGGAGCCGUAGCGAAAGCGAGUUUUAACUGAGCGUUCAGUUACUUGACGUAGACCCGAAACCGGGCGACCUACCCAUGAGCAGGAUGAAGCGAAAGUAAAAUUUCGUGGAGGUCCGAACCCACGAGCGUUGAAAAGCUCGGGGAUGACUUGUGGGUAGCGGUGAAAUUCCAAUCGAGCCCGGAGAUAGCUGGUUCUCCCCGAAAUAGCUUUAGGGCUAGCCUCAAGGUGAGAGAUACGGAGGUAGAGCACUGAAUGUCCUAGGGGGUAUUGCACCUACCGAAGACUAUCAAACUCCGAAUGCCGUCAUCUUAUACUUGGGAGUCAGACUGUGGGUGAUAAGAUUCAUAGUCGAAAGGGCAACAGCCCAGAUCGUCAGCUAAGGUCCCUAAAUGUAAGUUAAGUGGUAAAGGAUGUGGGAUUGCACAGACAACCAGGAUGUUGGCUUAGAAGCAGCCACUCAUUCAAAGAGUGCGUAAUAGCUCACUGGUCGAGUGAUCCUGCGCCGAAGAUUUCCGGGGCUAAAACUUACUACCGAAGCUACGGCAUCAGUAAUGAUGGGUAGGGGAGCUUCCCAUACGGGUUGAAGCAUGACCGUAAGGACAUGUGGACAGUAUGGGAGUGAGAAUGUUGGCAUGAGUAGCGAGAUGUGGGUGAGAAUCCCACAGGCCGUAAACCCAAGGUUUCCAGGGGAAGGUUCGUCCGCCCUGGGUUAGUCGGGACCUAAGCUGAGGCCGAAAGGCGUAGGUGAUGGACAACAGGUUGAUAUUCCUGUACUACCGAUAACCGUUUGAGAGAAGGGAUGACACAGUAGGAUAAGCUAAGCACACUGUUGGUUAUGUGUGCCCAAGCAUUGAGGCAGUCAAAGUAGGCAAAUCCGCUUUGAUAAUGCUGGGAUGUGAUGGGGAGCGAAAUUUAGUAGCGAAGUAGCUGAUUUCACACUGUCAAGAAAAGUCUCUAUCGAGGUUAAAGGUACCCGUACCGCAAACCGACACAGGUGGGUGAGGAGAGUAUCCUAAGGCCAGCGAGAGAACUGUUGUUAAGGAACUCGGCAAAAUGACCCCGUAACUUAGGGAUAAGGGGUGCCACCAUCAGGUGGCCGCAGAGAAUAGGCCCAAGCGACUGUUUACCAAAAACAUAGGUUUCUGCUAAGUCGCAAGACGAUGUAUAGGAGCUGACGCCUGCCCGGUGCUGGAAGGUUAAGGGGAUCUGUUAGAGCAAUCGAAGCAGUGAACUUAAGCCCCAGUAAACGGCGGCCGUAACUAUAACGGUCCUAAGGUAGCGAAAUUCCUUGUCGGGUAAGUUCCGACCCGCACGAAAGGCGUAACGAUUUGGGCACUGUCUCAACAACAGACUCGGUGAAAUUGUAAUUCCGGUGAAGAUGCCGGAUACCUGCGACAGGACGGAAAGACCCCAUGGAGCUUUACUGUAGCUUGACAUUGGGUUUUGGUACUACAUGUACAGGAUAGGUGGGAGGCUUUGAAACCAGGACGCCAGUUUUGGCGGAGCCAUCCUUGGGAUACCACCCUUGUAGUACUGGGACUCUAACCAUAGGCCAUGAAUCUGGUCUUGGGACACUGUCAGGUGGGCAGUUUGACUGGGGCGGUCGCCUCCCAAAAGGUAACGGAGGCGCUCAAAGGUUCUCUCAGUACGGUCGGAAAUCGUACGUAGAGUGUAAAGGCAAAAGAGAGCUUGAUUGCAAGACAUACAGGUCGAGCAAGGAUGAAAAUCGGACUUAGUGAUCCGGUGGUUCUGCGUGGAAGGGCCAUCGCUCAACGGAUAAAAGCUACCCUGGGGAUAACAGGCUUAUCUCCCCCAAGAGUCCACAUCGACGGGGAGGUUUGGCACCUCGAUGUCGGCUCAUCACAUCCUGGGGCUGUAGUAGGUCCCAAGGGUUGGGCUGUUCGCCCAUUAAAGUGGUACGCGAGCUGGGUUCAGAACGUCGUGAGACAGUUCGGUCCCUAUCCGUCGCAGGCGUAGGAAAUUUGAGAAGACCUGUCCUUAGUACGAGAGGACCGGGAUGGACGUACCUCUGGUGUACCAGUUGUUCUGCCAAGGGCAUGGCUGGGUAGCUAUGUACGGAAUGGAUAAGCGCUGAAAGCAUCUAAGCGCGAAGCCAACUUCAAGAUAAGAUUUCCCACCG
rnacentral:rRNA from 1 species